rnacentral:lncRNA from 1 species
GGCGGGCUCCCAACUUUUAAUUUCAUCACCCUGUUCUUCAGGCGGGCCCCUGACUUGCCAUUUCAUCAUGUUAUUCUUCAGGCGGGAUCCUGACUUUCAAUUGCAUCACCCUAUUCUCUAGCGGGCUCUUGACUUUCAAUUUCAUCACUCUGUUCUUCAAGCGGGCUCUUGACUUGCAAUUUCAUCACCCUGUUCUUCAGGUGGGCUCUUGACUUACAAUUUCAUCACCCUAUUUUUCAGGCAAGCUCUUGACUUGCAAUUUCAUCACCCUGUUCUUUAGGCGGGCUCCUGACUUGCUAUUUCAUCACCCUGUUCUUUUGGCGAGCUCUUGACUUUUAAUUUUAUCACCCUGUUCUCCAGGCAGUCUCCUAACUUGCAAUUCAUCACCCUAUUCUCCAGGCGGGCUCCUGAUUUGAAAUUUCAUUACCCUAUUCUCCAGGCGAGCUCUUGACAAUCAAUUUCAUCACCCUGUUCUUCAGGCGGGUUCCUAACUUUCAAU